rnacentral:tRNA from 1 species
AUUUAAAUAGCUUAUAAUUUAGAGCAUGAUAUUGAAGAUAUCAGGGAAAUUAUUUAUAAUUUUUAAAUA